AUAGAAGCGGAGGUGGUGGUGACUCACGCCUUUAAUCCCAGCACUUGGGAGGCAGAGAAAGGAAGUGAUAAGGCGGGACGGAGACAGGAUCUUGGUCCUUCUGGUCAGAGGAUCUGAAGAGGUACCCAGGAUGAAUCAAACUGAACUGCAGGUGGUGGUUCCACAGCACAUGGAGAGAGCCUGCAUGAGAGCAGGACCUUUUCAGAGAACACUGGAUCCAAAAAUGGAGAGAUGCAUACUCCUGAUCGUGUAAGUUAAUGCCUGAAGUUCUCUCCACCGCUGCACAGGAGAACCUUCAGCUGAGUAAAAACAGAGGAUGGAGACCUUCCCUAAUCACUGCUUACCCAAUGCCUGGUGCACAGAAUGGAGACCUUCCCUGUUCACUAUUUGCCCAGUGACUGGUGCACAGAAUGGAGACCUUCCCUAGUCACUAUUUGCCCAGUGACUAGUGCACAGUGGGUACUUACACCUUAUUGAGAAGACAUCAGUUAGCAUACUGGCACCGUCAAGGUUCUCAUCUGUCAAGAGCUCCUGGAGUCACAUGCCAAGGAGGAAGCCAUCAAACACUGUGCUUUCUGCCAUUCUUUAGUCUUGAAAGAAACAAUAAA